AGUUAGACACGAAUAAAAGACCGCCUCCGCGAGCCAGCCCUACCGCGACGCGCACGGUGCCCUGAGGCGAAGAGAUCAGGCGGAGGGAAAGGGGAGGAUGGGUCGAGUGAAGACCUUCUUCGGUUUGACCUUCUGUGUCUUCGUUUUCAUGCAAUCCAUGGAGACUGUUCACCACUGGCUCGCCCUCUAUCUAGACGAGAAGCAAGAAAGAUUGGAGAGGGAAAUGGAGAUCAAGCGACGCAGCGAGGACAGUGACUCACACGCAUAACUGUUGCCACUGUUUGCCACCCCAUUGGAUCGAUCGAUCAUCUGCAAACAAUCUUUUUUAGAUAUUAAAAUUUUUGGUGGGUGUUAUUUUAAUAAUUUUUAAUAAUAUAUUUGUUAUGACAAUUGUCUAUUUCAAAUACUCAUAUGAUCUAGAUUCUAAAUUUGAUACUUUUAAA